UACGUAGGGGGCAAGCGUUGUCCGGAAUCAUUGGGCGUAAAGAGCGUGUAGGCGGCCAGAUAAGUCCGCUGUGAAAACUCGAGGCUCAACUUCGAGCUGUCGGCGGAAACUAUCUGGCUAGAGUCCGGAAGAGGAGAGUGGAAUUCCUGGUGUAGCGGUGAAAUGCGCAGAUAUCAGGAAGAACACCCGUGGCGAAGGCGGCUCUCUGGGACGGUACUGACGCUGAGACGCGAAAGCGUGGGAGCGAACAGG
rnacentral:rRNA from 1 species